rnacentral:lncRNA from 1 species
UAUAUACAUGGCCAUAGACGUGCAUAAUUGGAGGCUGCCAUACGACAUCGAACGUGAAUCAGACGCACGAAUGGAAAAAAAGAAAAGAAACGAAAAGAGAAUAUAUUAGUGGUGGAGUUCGAUCAGCAGAGAAGAAAAAGAAUUGGUUCUGGAUCAGGAUUCAAGUGGGGUUCGCAAACGUACUUGUUUCUUGUUUUUGACUAUGGUUCUUGGCUACCAAAGUGAAGAGAUUGAGUAAGGUGACAUAAAAGAAGAAGAAAAUGUGAGGAAAUAAGAAUGCAGGAAAAAAGAAUGACUGUGUUAAGACAGUUGUGGAAACAACAUGCAUCCGGUAUAAAAACCUAACUUGACAUUUGUUUGAACUUGGUGUUAGCAUUCCAUAUAGGUUCA